rnacentral:rRNA from 1 species
AUGAACCCUUCCUUGGCUCCCGGCCCGGAUGGCCUCCCAGUGAAGUUCUUCCAGACCUUCUGGGAGGUGAUAAAACUUGAGGUGAUGGCCCUAUUUGACGAUUUCCUUGUUGGGUCCGUUGACCUCGCCCGGCUAAACUAUGGGGUAAUCACUCUCAUCCCUAAAGUGACGGGAGCCUUGGACAUCCGACAAUUUCGACCAAUUAUGGUGAUUAAUGUCAUCUUUCGCAUCCUCGCGAAGGGGUACUCCAUUAGGGUGGCCCCUAUUGCCGACUAGAUCACUCACCCUGACCAGUCGGCUUUCAUCCAGGGCUGA